CCUACGGGAGGCAGCAGUGGGGGAUAUUGCACAAUGGGGGAAACCCUGAUGCAGCGACGCCGCGUGAGUGAAGAAGUAAUUCGGUAUGUAAAGCUCUAUCAGCAGGGAAGAAAAUGACGGUACCUGAGUAAGAAGCCCCGGCUAACUACGUGCCAGCAGCCGCGGUAAUACGUAGGGGGCAAGCGUUAUCCGGAUUUACUGGGGGUAAAGGGAGCGUAGACGGGGGGGCAAGUCUGGUGUGAAAGGUGGGGGCCCAACCCCCGGACUGCAUUGGAAACUGUACGGCUGGAGUGCAGGAGAGGUAAGUGGAAUUCCUGGUGUAGCGGUGAAAUGCGUAGAUAUUAGGAGGAACACCAGUGGCGAAGGCGGCUUACUGGACUGUAACUGACGUUGAGGCUCGAAAGCGUGGGGAGCAAACAGGAUUAGAUACCCUUGUAGUC
rnacentral:rRNA from 1 species